GCCUUGUUAGUGUAGUCCGGCCAAUCAUACGGCCCUCUCGAGGCUGUGACCCGGGUUCAAAUCCCGGACGAGGCA
rnacentral:tRNA from 1 species